rnacentral:tRNA from 1 species
UCCAGGGUAGCCUAGUGCACAUGACAUCUGCCCGGUAAGCGUAACACUGUGGGUUCGAUUCCCAUCCCUGGAC